CCGAAGAAGUGCAUCGGAAACUGGGAGACUUGAGUGCAGAAGAGGACAGUGGAACUCCAUGUGUAGCGGUGAAAUGCGUAGAUAUAUGGAAGAACACCAGUGGCGAAGGCGGCUGUCUGGUCUGUAACUGACGCUGAGGCUCGAAAGCAUGGGUAGCGAACAGGAUUAGAUACCCUGGUAGUCCAUGCCGUAAACGAUGAUUACUAAGUGUUGGAGGGUUUCCGCCCUUCAGUGCUGCAGCUAACGCAUUAAGUAAUCCGCCUGGGGAGUACGACCGCAAGGUUGAAACUCAAAAGAAUUGACGGGGGCCCGCACAAGCGGUGGAGCAUGUGGUUUAAUUCGAAGCUACGCGAAGAACCUUACCAGGUCUUGACAUCUUCUGCCAACCUAAGAGAUUAGGCGUUCCCUUCGGGGACAGAAUGACAGGUGGUGCAUGGUUGUCGUCAGCUCGUGUCGUGAGAUGUUGGGUUAAGUCCCGCAACGAGCGCAACCCUUAUUACUAGUUGCCAGCAUUCAGUUGGGCACUCUAGUGAGACUGCCGGUGACAAACCGGAGGAAGGUGGGGACGACGUCAAAUCAUCAUGCCCCUUAUGACCUGGGCUACACACGUGCUACAAUGGAUGGUACAACGAGUUGCGAAACCGCGAGGUUUAGCUAAUCUCUUAAAACCAUUCUCAGUUCGGACUGUAGGCUGCAACUCGCCUACACGAAGUCGGAAUCGCUAGUAAUCGCGGAUCAGCAUGCCGCGGUGAAUACGUUCCCGGGCCUUGUACACACCGCCCGUCACACCAUGAGAGUUUGUAACACCCAAAGCCGGUGGGGUAACCUUUUAGGAGCCAGCCGCCU
rnacentral:rRNA from 1 species